rnacentral:rRNA from 1 species
UGGGGAAUCUUGCGCAAUGGGCGAAAGCCUGACGCAGCGACGCCGCGUGGGGGAUGAAGCUUCUCGGAGUGUAAACCCCUUUCGACCCGGAAGAAUGGUCCGCAAGGACUUGACGGUACGGGUAUAAGAAGCCCCGGCUAACUACGUGCCAGCAGCCGCGGUAAGACGUAGGGGGCCAGCGUUGCUCGGAAUUACUGGGCGUAAAGGGUUCGUAGGCGGUGCGGCAAGUCGGAAGUGAAAUCUCCAGGCUUAACUUGGAGGCUGCUCCCGAAACUGCCGUGCUAGAGUGCAGGAGGGGCGAGUGGAAUUACAGGUGUAGCGGUGAAAUGCGUAGAUAUCUGUAGGAACACCCGUGGCGAAGGCGGCUCGCUGGACUGCAACUGACGCUGAGGAACGAAAGCUAGGGGAGCAAACAGGAUUAGAUACCCCCGUAGUCC